rnacentral:rRNA from 1 species
UACGUAAGUUGCGAGCGUUGCUCGGAAUUAUUGGGCGUAAAGGGCAUGUAGGCGGUAAUUCAAGUCUGGUGUGAAAUGCCGGGGCUCAACCCCGGAACUGCGUUGGAAACUGCAAUACUUGAGUCACUGAGGGGCAACCAGAAUUCCAGGUGUAGGGGUGAAAUCUGUAGAUAUCUGGAAGAAUACCAAUGGCGAAGGCAGGUUGCCAGCAGAUGACUGACGCUGAGGUGCGAAGGUGCGGGGAGCAAAC